GCCGGUGUAGCUCAGUUGGUAGAGCAACUGAUUCGUAAUCAGUAGGCCGGAGGUUCGACUCCUCUCAUCGGCACCA
rnacentral:tRNA from 1 species